GAGUCACAGACUUAGCUCAGGGUUUUCUGCAGCUACGACAAGAAUGGAAAACAUCUUUAAAAGGGUAACUUCCAUAUAAUAAACAUUUUGUUCAUAUUAGCCCUAAUCUUUGCAACAACCCCAAAGCCUGCUAUCAUUACCUCAUGUUAUAGUGGGAAUAGGAGUUCCCAUUGUGGUGCAGUGGAAAUGAAUCCAACUAGGAACCAUGAGGUUGAGGGUUUGAUCCCUGGCCUCAUUCAGUGGUCUGAGGAUCCGGCAUUGCCAUGAGCUGUGGUGUAGGUCACAGAUGCAGCUCAAAUCUGGCAUUGCUAUGGCUGUGGUAUAGGCUGGUGGCUACAGCUCCAAUUAGACCCCUAGCCUGAGAACCUCCAUAUGCCACUGGUGCAGCCCUAAAAAGAUGAAAAGACAAAAAUAAAAAUAAAAAUAAAAAAAUAUAUAGUGGGGAUAAUGCAGGAUCAGAGAGACUCAGUGACUGGGCUCUGGUUACACAGGCAGCAUGUGACUAUUUGGAUUAAACCCUGGUGUCUCUGGUUCUUAUAGCUUGGGCCUUUCUGGAGUAACACAGAUGGCAGCUGUCCCUACAGUCUCUGGCACAUGCAUAACCUCUUUCUGUUUUUGUUCAAGGUCAAUCCACCUCUUUAUUAUAUUCUUUAAUAGAACCCUCUCUCACAGAAGAGAGAGAGUGAACAGUGUAGAUUUUACUGAGGGAGAAAUGAGGGGGUAGUUUACUUUGCAUAUCCCACAUCAAACAACUUGAACAUUGUGGUCUGCAAAGUGCUUUCUUAGUUUGCUGACACUGGAGGCUCCUCUCUUUGACGCUUUCCUCGUACUCUACCCAGCUUCCCUGGCUAAUACCUUCUAUUCCUGGAUCAUCCUUUCUCUUUCCAUCUUUAAAUUACUCAUACCUCUAUUAGGCACUGACAUUAGGCAAUUGCACUAUGUUUUGCCCAACUCUUAAAACCCAACCUGCAUAUCUAAGCCUAGUGCUCUGAUUAGCACACCCCCAAAGCCUUCCUGGUAACAGUUCUUAACCUACUUAAUAGUAGUGAAAAUUAUGAAGCAAUUGAAAAAAGAAUCCGUCUACACAUUUUUCAUUCGGGAUAGAUAUAGCAAUAUCUUAGCUUGUCAGGCACUUAGUUCUGAAAGAAUAUUUUUCAGUGGAACUUCAUGGAGGAUGUGGAGGACAGUUUCCAUCAGUAGACAUAACAUGAAUUUCAUACACAUUUGCUUGUAGCCACCCCUGCAGAUUAGUCCAGGGUGCCAUAGCAAAACUUAGAACAUGCUAAUUUGUGUGGAUCUAUGAACAGAGAGUUCAGGAUGGAGGAAAAGUUGACGUUGAGAAUGAGAAAAGAAAUAGACGAGGGAGAAAUAACUUCACUAGUAAUAUAAUGCUGGAAAUGAAGAUGAGUCUCCUUUUUCAGUUGUGUACCAUAAAUUAUGUUGUACACUGCCAUAAGAAACUAUAUUUUCAAUUUACAUAUUAAAUGAGCAAUGCCAAGUUUACUUCAAUGGUAAUGGAAUGCUAAUGCCUAGAAAGAGGCCACUGACACUGAAACUAAGUCUUCAACUUUAACAUCACAAAAGUUUAGACUUGUGGUAAUACAUUAAAUCAUGCAAUUAGGUAGUAGGGCUUUAAUUAUUUCAGCCUCAAUGUACUCCUUUCACAAAAUCUGUCAGCCAUCCAAAAUUGCCUAAGUUGUCAUAAACUGAGUAUGUCUUUCAAAGAGUGAACUGAAAACUAAAAAUAAAUGCUUUUUUGCUGUCCAUAGACUCCUUAUAAAGUGCUCUGAAACCAAAAAAGAUUGUAGUUUUUUUUCCCCACUAAGUUUUGAGAACAUAUUUAAUAAUGUAUAAUGGCUUUCAUUGGAAGGGCAAGCUCUCUUAACAAAUAUAAGCUAGCUUGGUGGAGGUAAAAAUACAUGGGUAUAGUUACAAAUGGACUGUGGAAAAAAAUACCCUAAAGCUAUUUUCAAUUUUUUUCAUAAACUGAGGGAAGGUAAAAUUACUUUGUCCUUUAGUGUAGCACCCUGACAGUUUAAAGGUGAGGUCAAGGAGGAACAGUGAAAUAAGAUGUGAGCAGAAGGAAAGUUUGAAUUCAACUAUGGCUUAUAGGUGAAUUCAGGAUUUAUCUUGUUUGCUGGGGAAGUCAAAUCUGGAAAUAAGGCCCUUUAAACACAUAGCAGGUCUCUCUUCUCAACUUUGCUUGGAUAACUUCCCCAAAGCAACUUGGAAAAAUUUUCUUUUUUGAAUUUAUAGGUAUGGCCAAGGAGAUGGUCACUUGUAUUUCUUCAUAGAAAAUUCCAAAAGGGACAAGUUACUUUUCUGGCCUCCCCCCUAAAAAGUGUCCAGCUGCCCACAGGGAUAGCACAAUCCAUGAUCAACAGAGUGAAAAUAAGAGAAAAAAUAUUGGACGAGGUUAGCAGUAUGAAGGUUAGAAAGUAUGAAUUUUAGAAGUAUGUAGGUAAAGGACAGAGGAUGGGGUGAGAAAAGGAAAAUCCCCAAAACAUUUAAAGACUUUAUAAGCUGAAGUCUCACAAUUUUAGAGCUGCACUCUGCCUUUAAGAUUUUCUAGCACUGUGAUUAUCACCUGGGAGGAUGAGUGGUAGGAGGGGAAGGCUGACCACCAAUUGUUACCUAGGGCAACAGGAUCUUCAAGUUGCUAUAUAUUGUUUCAAAAAGAUUAUGAACACAUUUACUAUUAUAGUAUAAUUUUAUAUUUGGAAAAUUCAACAAAUACUAUUGUUUUAAUAAUUUAAACAUUAGAAAUGAAUGUUUCACAGUUUAUCUCAGUCUAAUGUCUCACGGAGAUGUGCAGAAGGUCAGUAAUUCUCAGCUUGCAAAAACUCUAGGUGAAUGGUAGGCAGCUAUAUCAGAAUGCAUUUGGUACUGAGGGGAGCAUCAGAUUAUAUGUAUUAAUAAAAAAAGAGGGUAUGGGAUAAAAUAGGUUAAGAAACACCUAGAUCAACAAGAGUAGGACUGGGAGGUGUUCUUUAUUCAACAAAUAUUUAUUGAGCAUUCUACUGGGUUUUACACUCAGGAAAGUAUGUCUACCAGAGAACUGUAUGUGUAAAUGUGGAGUUCAGGUGAAUUCUAGGCUCAAGACAGAAACUUGCAACUGUAUUUCAACAGCAAUGUCAGGGAAGUUAAGGACCAAGAAGGCCACUCUGUAUUACCAUCAAAAAGAUUGUGAUUGACUUUUCAAGAGCAUUUUGGGUGGAGGGAUGACACAGAAACCAGAUUGUGGUGAGCCAAGCAGAGAGUGGGAGAUGUUAAAGCAGAGACUGCAUCUAUGGACACUUAUUUCAGACAACUUUACUGGGGAAGGGAAGAGAAGGCGAGGGUCAAUGCAGGGGCAAAUCUUGGGAAUUCAGGGAGAGAUUUUUUAGAUGGGAGAUAAGUAAAUACAAAGUAUUUUAAUACACAUGAGACAGUUAAACAACUCUUAGUUCACUGAAUGCUCAUUAAAAUGCAUUAUGAGAUGAAAUGUCAGAUAAAAAAUGCAUAGUUCUUGCUCUCAGGAAGUUUUGCAAACUCAGACCAAUCACUGAUCACAGUAAUAGACUAGAAAUAUUAUGGCUCAUUAAAGUAAUAUAAACAGUGCUAUGUGGAUUAAAAAAUCAAAGAUCAAAACGUUUUCACCCAUAUAGAAAAACCAGACAUUGAAUGGAUGAAAGAUUCCACAGAUGGAGUUUGGGAACCAAAGCACAAAGAAUGUGAAGGGCUGUGUUGGGUUUUCCAUUAUAACACAAUAGUCUUAAAAGAUCGUGACUUUAACUGUGGGGGUUUUGAAUUCCAAGUUCAUAGCUGUAGUUCAAUUCUGUGAGCAAUUGGAAGGUUUUUGAAUAAAAUAAGGUUGUGGUCCAUAGAUCUGCAUUAAGAAAAUGAACUUGGCAACCAUACCUGGAAAUGUUUGGAGAAGAUUCAGAGUGAGAAAGCUCAUUAAGAAAUAUAUGAAAUAGAUCAGAUGCAAGGGAAUCAGAGGCUCAGUCAGAGUAGUGACAGUAGGAAUGGAAUGGAAGAGAGUUAGUUCAUUUAUUAAUUCAACAGAUAUUUAGUUAGUGCUUACUCUGUGUUAGGAAGGCAUAGGGCCUCUAAUCUCAAGGAGCUCCCAGGCAAAUGUCUGAUGUAAAUGAGUUCUGUCAUGGAGGGAUACACCCAAUUAUAAGAGAUCCCAUAGGAUGGAGGGAUAUAUGUGUGGAGGAAAACAGAAACCAAGGGAGUAUUCUUUCAGGAGGAAAGAGUGUGUUAUUACCAGAGGAGUAGAGUGAAAGUAGUCCUGAAAUGAUUCUGUUGGGUUUUUCAGCAUGAAGGAUGUAAGUGAUGUUAACAGGAGCCAUUUCGUUGAAGCAGUCGGGAAAGAAUUAGAAGUGUCACGGAUUGAAGAUUAUUUGGGAGGUGAGGACUUGAGGACAGUGAGACAAGAGAAACAUUUUAGAGGUAAACAUGGUAGCUGCUGAGGUUAAGGUAAUGGGGAGUAAGAGAUAAAAGAUGAUUCAGUGUCUGUAAGUCUCAGAAUGAUGACAUCAUUUCUAAAAUAGAGGAAUCAGCAGAAAGACUUAAUUUUAAGGGAGCUUUGGCUUUGCUCUAGAAUUUGAAAUAUGAACAGGAGUAGACAUUUAGCCCAUGGUUUGAAAAAAGGAUAAACAUGUUUUAAAGUAAUAUUAGGGCUGUACAGAGAUAAGUUUGGUUAGCAUAAUACAAGUAGCUGAAGCCACAGUCAUGGAAAGUACAGUUGACCCUUGAACAAUGCAGAUUUGAACUUCAUGAGUCCACUUAAACAUGCAGUUAUUUUUCAAUAGUAAGUGCAUGGUCCAUAGGUGGUUGAAUCUGUAGAUGUGGAGAAACCAUGGAUGUGGUGGCCAACUAUAAAUAUACGCAGAUUAUCCACCCCCACCGAACCCUGCUCAGCCAGUUGUUCAAGGAUCAACUGUAAAACUGUAGAGGAUUCUGAAGAGUACAGCAGACAGGAGAAAGGGAUGAGAAAGAGGAUUAGAAGUUAGUGAAACUGACUGAAAAAGAAGUGGUCAGAAAAGAAAAAAAAAAGUACCAGGUUGAGUUAUGGCACUCAAGGAAAAUGUUGUUUUCAUAGUUAUUUAAUCUUUGUUGGUUAGGAUGUAAUUUACUCUAAGGCAGAGUAAGUACCAGGAAAAUACUGUUGAUUUUUGACAGCUAAUAAUUUUUGGUGUUCUUGGGAACCAUUUGUUUCCAAUUGGGAAUAGCCAUUUUGGU
rnacentral:lncRNA from 1 species